AUUUGACUGCAUGUCACCGUGUACCUUCAAAGCUGAUUGCUCCACCGUUUAGUUGACACAGUUCAGUUGGACUCAACGAAACGAGACACCUCCGCGGAUCUCACGAAAGUUUCUUCUGCAAUUAUGAAGACCCUUUGUGUUGUCAUACUUGCAUUUUUGGUAGUCGUUGGGAUGUCACGCGCUCGUCAUCCGAAAAAACUAGGAGGGCCGCCUAAAGGCAUAGGAAAAAGCAAUGAUUCCGAGAAAAAAAUGAAUGGAAGGGAGGCAAAGCAUUUUCUUUCAAAAAAGGGAAACCCCGCAUGUAGAGAAGUCUGUUGGGAAAACUGUUCUAGGGAACUGCGAGCUGGUAAUACAAAAAGCUGCGAACAUUGCUGUAAUUGAUAGCAAGUGUCCCAGCUCCAAGUUCUGUGCCGCAGACCUGCAUGGUAUCAUAGAAAUACCAAGGACUAAAGGAGAUUCUUUACUUUGCAGUGUGCUUGUGUGUGUGAAUGCAGUCUAGUUAAUGAGACAGAAGGGAUGAAAACAGAGUAGUUUUAACUGAGAGGUUCAAUGCAGUGUACGCAAUUUAUGUCUUAAAGUAUUCGAAGAUGAAAGGAGAAGUAAUUCAAUUUCACAUUGCAGUCUCCGUGUAUCAAUUGUAGUAAAGUGCAACUUAAGUUGAAUAAAAAAUGUGGCGGCCUUC